AAGAAGCCACUGGCUGCUACAAAAUUUGAGGAAGCCUUCACCACAAAUGCAGAGGAGUUUAACUGUAGCACUUUAACACAGAAUUGAUUAUCUGAGCAAGCAUCAACACAAAUUUCAAGAUGACUAUUCUGAAAGAGUACUACACUUGAAAAAUGAGUCACUGUUCCAGAAUCAAAGCUCCCUCUUCUCAAGAAUAUCCACCAAAUGAACCUGCAGUACUUGAGCUUCUCACUGAUCAGCUUCACUCCAAGAUCCCUGUGAUACAUGGCAUUCAUUCCCUGUUGUUAGAAGGUCCUUUGGUUGCCUAAAG